GGAGGGCCCGGCGGCGGCGGCUCCUCAUCCAGUAAAGCUAAACUCUUCUCCAGUGCAUCAUGAACGGGGAGGAAUGUCCGGGCUGCAAAUAGAACGUGUGUCACAUUUCAGAAGAAAUGAGGCGACGUUGCGGAGGUCCGGGCGGUUGGCCCGGUGGAGGUCCUGGAGGAGACGGUCCCGGCGUUGGAGGACAGCUGGGGGAUCCGGCGGUGGAGGUCCGAAGGCGCCUCGUGAUUAGACCAACCAGCUCCUCAUCCAUGGAAGGAUUGAAGGAGUCACUGGGGAUGAAGAUCACUGCUCGGGGGCUGACGACCACUCAUCUUUCCGGAGAAGCGUCCUCAUGGUGCAGGCGGUCAAACCUCCACCUCUUUGAAGAGAC